UCGGGGAAGGGCUCUGGGCCCCACCUGAGGAACAGAGCAGAUGUUGCUUGCAAGUGGCUUCCUGUUUCAUGGAGCAUUUCCGCCUGUAAAAUGGCAUCUGAAAAGACCGAGCUGAGCACAGAGCCCUAGGACCUGUCACUGUCACUAGAGACCUCCCUUCAGCUUCCAGAACCACUUGGAGGGACCAGGAAGUCUGUGACUGUGCCACGUGGCACCAUGAAGUCCCCAUCCUCCUGGACCCAAAUGCCUGUUCACAGACCUCUUGAAUUCCAUCCAUGGACCCUGGCCACCCCUUGUGUCACAUUUCCUUAAGAAACCACUGCUAAUCCGGUCCAGACUGUUGAGGGAGGAAGAAACUCAAAUGGUAUCCAAACUCAGGACACACUGCCACAUGUGU
rnacentral:lncRNA from 10 species